ACCCAAUAGAUACCCCGGUAGUCCUAGCUGUAAACGGUGCACGUUUGCUGUAAAGGAAUCGACCCCUUUUCGUGGCGAAAGCUAAACGCGAUAAAAACGUGCCGCCUGGGGAGUACGGUCGCAAGAUUAAACUCAAAGAAAUUGACGGGGCCGUGCACAAGCGGUGGAGUAUGUGGCUUAAUUCGAUGCAACGCGAAGAACCUUACCUGGCCUUGACAUGCACGUAGUAGAAGCGUGAAAGCGUAACGAACCCGCAAGGGUAGCGUGCACAGGUGCUGCAUGGCUGUCGUCAGCUCGUGUCGUGAGAUGUUGGGUUAAGUCCCGCAACGAGCGCAACCCUUGUGUCCUGUUGCCACCCAAACGAGAGUUUGGAGCACUCUGGACAGACUGCCUCGCUUAAACG
rnacentral:rRNA from 1 species